AAAGGAAUAGACGGGGGCUCACUACAAGGGGUGGAUGUUGCGGUUUAAUUGGAUGCAACGCCAGAAAAUCUUACCAGGGAAGACAGCAGUGUGAUGAACAGUCUGAAGGGCUUUUUUGACGCGCUGAGAGGUCCUGUAUGGCCACCGCCAGCUCGUACCGUGAGGCAUCCUGUUAACUCAGGCAACGGGCGAGACCCAUGCUCAUAGUUGCGACUCUUGCUUUUGCGAGGGGCACUCUAUGAGGACUGCUGCAGUAAUGCUGAGGAAGGUAUGGUCAACGGUAGGUCUGUAUGAGCCGAAUUUCCUGGGCAACACGCGCCACACAAUGGUGAAGACAAUGGGUCGCUUACCCGAAAGGGGUCGCUAAUCUCUUAAACUUCACCUCAGUUCGGAUUGAGGGCUGUAACCCGCCCUCAUGAAGUUGGAAUCCCCAGUAAUCGCGUGUCAUUAACGCGCGGUGAAUAAGUCCCUGAGCCUUGCACACACCGCCCGU
rnacentral:rRNA from 1 species